ACAGUUGCUAACAUAUUGACAUUUGAUAACAAAUGUGAGAAAAUUAUGACAUUUUGAUUUAAAUGUUGCAAUAUUAAUAAGCAAUUACCGACAAUUACAAUUAAAGAAGGAAACUUUAACCUAAUGUCUUUCUUUUAAAUACGUGAAAUGAAACAAAUUAGACCCACAACGGCGGCUACGGUGAUAUAAUUCUUCUAGGUCUCCUUCACUCUGCUCCCAGAGUUCUUGCUGGCCUUUGGAAUCCUCUGCUAAUGGUGCCUUAUCAGUCGAUUGCUUCUUUUCUGCUUUUGAUACCGUCGUAGACAGGAAGGAUUGAGAAAGCAAAGUUGCGACUUGGGAGGAGAUCGGCUACAGACGAUAUAUUAUUUAAAAUUAAGAUGAGAUUUCCUUCUGAAGUUCGAUGUCUCCACUGAUUCGAAUAUGAAGUCCCUCGAUCUCUCUUUCUCUGCUAAUUAUUAUUCAUACAUUUUUGUUCAUUGAUAAUCAUACAAUUAAGUUUAGUUAUUUUAAGGUUUUUAUAGUGUGUAGCUUUGAUGAUAUUAUUUGCUUGCAAAAUUGGUGCUUUAUUGAAAUAUUUGCUGCUUUUAUGCAGCGCUUUCAUAUGUUCGUAUGAUAUCUAGUUUGGAGUGCUUAAGGGGAAGGUAAAGAUUGUUUUUUUUUUGGGUUAUCUAAGCAAAUUUUAUUUUGUUUUUGAUAAAGCAUUAAUUAAUUUUGUUUGAUUUUCCAUCUUGCUUUAGAGUAAGGAAUUUAUUGUCUAACUCUAAUUAGUGUAAUGAAUGUUAUCAGGUUUUUCAUCUAAAGAUACUCAAAUGGUUGAUUGUUGGCUCAUACGUCUAUUCCAAUGUAAAGAUUAAUCAUUGGCGUCAAUUUCUUGGUAGGAGGAAUGUGAAAAUGAGAUAAUUCUUUUUUCAAUUCUAACACUGAUUUCAAAUAGGAUACAAAUAUUCAGUGAUCUUAAUUGGCAUUUGGCAAGCUGAUUAACAAAGAGUUUUGCUUGAUAGUGGAGUUUGGACGAAACUGGCUAUGCAUGUAUCUUUAGUUUUGCCUCUAUUUGGUCUUGUUCUAAAAAGCUAUAUUUUUAAGUUUUCUUUUGUAUUUUUUGUUUACUUAUAUAUGAUAUAUCAAGUAUGCCUCACUCAAAUGAGCUCUGUUUCUCGCAGGGUUACAUUUAGAUGUAUUCUUGGUAUGGAGCUCAAUUUAGGUGUAUGCUAGUUUUGGAGCUCCGUGUUUAUUCCUUGUACAGUAAACUUCUGCUAGGUGAAUAAAAUGUGCUCCUUAACGGUGGUUGCUAAAGUUAGGAUUGUUGAUUCCAAUAUCACCAAAUUCAAUACUCCACCAAACUUUUACCAGAGUUGUUUAACAUUUAAAUUGUUGUGUAUCUCUGUCAAAUUCAUGAUAAUAUUGUCCUUGAUUUCUGUUAAGGUAUGUAAUUGAUUGUUGCAGUCUUUGUAAGUUAGUUUUAUUUGUUAUAUUUUUUGGAUUAGGAGAUACUUUACUUAGAAAGAUAAGUAUUGGACUAUAAUAACAUACAACUACUUAAGCGAUAGCUGCUAUCUUUGAUUAAAUCCUACUGCAUAGUUUAUAGAGUUACCCAAUAUCCUUUCUGUUCUCUUCUAGGGGAUUUAUUACUUAAAGUUGGAAUUCUGCAAUAAUUAGUGGUAUUAGCCAUCAUUUUGAUCAUCACCUCAGAUAAUCCUUUUCUUGCAAUUCAGGAUAUUAACAAAUGAGUAGGCACUCAAGCGACUUGGAGAGGAAGCUCCUAAAAGAAAGUAGCAGAAGGAGUGGAAAAAAGAGCUGAAGAAGUGAAGAUAUCUCUUGUCUCGAUAUUAGUUUGAAUCCAGCAAUGUUUAAUUGUAAAGGUUUAUAGCUAUUCACAAUUUUAUUCUUGUAUAGGGAUCUUAUGUUUGCAAAUAUUUUUUUUGUUUAAAUUCUCUAUGGUGAAUGACAUUUGUAGGUACAAUUUGAACUUUGAUGGUUAUACUUUCCUGUUAAUGGAAUAAAAUUUUUGUUUCUACAUUAUAGGAUGUGUUGCAUAAACAUCAAUGAGUAUUUCAAUUUUGACAUUAAAGGAUGUGCUACAGAAGUGUCACUAGUCACUCAAAUUUCGCAGACACUUUUAAAUGUCAUAAACUAAAUAAGCUACAAACUAUUUAUUUACCGACAAUAUAUUAAAUGUCAGAAAAUUUAAUGUGACAUUUCAAAAAGAGUCAUGAAAUAAAUGUUGUAAAUUAUUUACCGACAUUAAUAUAAAUGUCGGAAAUUUCCCAGACAUUGAAAUUUACGACAUUUGACCUAAGUGUAAAAUAAAUGUCAGGUAAGUAAUUUUAUGACAUUUAUGACACUUAAUACGACAUUUAUUAAAUUUCAUCGUAGCCCUUAUUUCUUGUAGUGUUUGCUUCAUUUUUGCACGUUACAUUCGUACUUUGGUUUUGAACUGAGUGAAUGUGAUAGAAGAAGCAAACGAAAUAGCAUCCACAAAUGGCUUAUUAAAUACUAUUUACAUGAAAAAAAGUACUACAAUUAUUUACUUAGUUGGAAAAAAAAGUACAAUUAUUUACUUCACUAUUAUAAUAGGUUAGACAACAUAUGCUGAUUUGAAAUUUGAUAUGCAGAAGGGUAUUUCUUUUAUCACUCUAUUCCAUGUUGUAUUGUCUCCUUUUUAUUUUUUGUUUUUAAAAUAGAAUGAUAUUUUUUAAUAUUUGAAAAUAACUUAACUUUGAACUUCUUAUUUUAUCCUUAAUAAUAUUAUUUUUUUAGUCAUAAAUCUCAUAACAUGCUUAAGACGAGAAGAUCCAUAUUUUUUUCUUAAUCUCUAUACUCAAUCAAAUAAGUUCAUGUAAAAUAAAAUAGGAGGAGUAAAAUUGAUUUCCGUUUCAAAAAAACUUUGUGAAAAAUAUAUAGCCGUAGACUCGUAUUUUUGAUUGAAUUUGGCAGUGGAAAAAGAACUUUCUUUUUAAAAAACAAACACCCUUAAACCACUUCCCAAGAAAUCAACAAGCUUGUUACAAGAUUUCAACAAAUAAAAAAAUUCAUGCAUCGGUAAAUUACUUAUUUCUUUCAUAUUUUCAUUUUAUAUUCACCACAAAUUAAUAUUAGUUCAAGUAAUUGUAUGUAGUGUCAUUAAUUAAGUCUUGGUUUGAAGUUAAACCUAAUUUUACAUCUGGCAAUGCAUAGCCCAUACUGCCUAAUGCAUGUCCUUUUUUAAAUUUGUGAAACUUAUCAUCUUUAUUACUUUUAAAUUCAAAUCUUUAUUUCUUUUCUUAUAUAGGAGGAUGGGAGGAAAUAUGUACCGGUUAAUUCCAACCAUCCACUUUAGUGUCAACGGGCUCAAAUAUUGAAUACUAUAUACUCCCUCCGUUCCAAUUUAUGUGAACCUGUUUGAUUGGACACGGAGUUUAAGAAAAAAUAAAACUUUUGAAAUUUGUGGUCCUAAACAAUUCAAAAAGGGGCCCAGAGUAUUUGUGUGGUUAUAAAAACUUCUCAUUAAGGGUAGAAUUGUAAGUUUAAGCAAUUUUGUUUCCAAAUUUAGAAAUGGGUCAUUUUUUUAGAACGGACCAAAAAGGAAAUAAGUUCACAUAAACUGGAACGGAGGUAGUAUAUAAAUAGAGUUAAUACCCUAAAAUCUGCCAAAACUAUAUAAACUUUGUCAGUUGCCUAUCUAAACUAUCGCAUGUCCCCGAAAACUCCUUGAACUAUAUCUCCUUUCAUAAUAAAACUCUCUCGCCGCAUUCUUACUGGUGUGUAUAAUACACGCUCCAAAUUAUUUUUAAAAUUUGCCAUGUGGCAUUCUACGUGGAUAUUUGUUUGGCUUAAUCUAAAAAACAUACUUAAUUAGGAUUUUAAUGCUCUUUAUUAUAUCAUUGUAAAAAUUACACGAUAAAAAAAAGGGGGGGGGGGGGAGGGGGGGGGCUAGAGUUAAAACUAAGUGGGUAAUUGUAAAAAAACAUAUUUUCUCUUUGCUCUCAUCGGAGACUUUGCUCUCAUAAGAGAAUGGCUACACCUUCUCAGUAGCGAUUUUCUCCAUUAAUCUUGGUUCUAACCUCAAUUGCUUUGUCUAUUCUAGCUUCUGUUAAAAAAUGGGAUAAAAACUAGGGGUCUGCUCCUGAAUCGGUAUAGAAGAUUAUAGUUUUGACAAGAGAGAGGGAGAGAAUUUCAGAUAGAUUCAAUGAAGAAAUAGAGAAGAAAGGUGAAAAUAUGAGGAAGGAAGGUGAAAUAUAAUGAAAAAAGGAGAAAAUAAAAAGAAACACUGUCAGGUAGGCCAUUUUAAUGGUUUUUUGCCGCCUUCACGCGCUCUUUGGCAAUUUAUUAUACACAUUGUGCCACAUAAGCGACGAAGGGGGUAUUAUUAAGAAGGGGUUAUAGUUCAGGGGGUUUUUAAGGACAAGCGAUAGUUUAGGUAGGCAAUUGACAAAAGUUGUAUAGUUUAGACGGUUUCAAUAUAUUAACACUAAAAAAACACUUAACAUAUUUACAAGUAUUAAGCUUUGAACUCAUAAUUGCAAAAAUACAAUAAAUUCAGUAAUGAGAACAUAAAGGGUUGAACCCCAUCAAAGUUAAAUCCUAGAUUCGCCUUAAUCGGGGGACACUUUGAUUAAUUUAGUUCCAACGGGCAGGGUUCUAUUGAACCGCAAUAUCUUUUAAGCAAAGCAUAGAUAUACGUUUUCAAAAGUCCAUGAGUUUAACGUUAAAAACUUUAAAGAUUGAAUUCAUCGAGUUUAAACUCUGAAUCUGUCCCUCGUUCAACCCUUAUACCAGGAAAAAAAAUGGAAAAAGAGAACACUUACUAGG
rnacentral:lncRNA from 1 species